UGGGGAAUAUUGGACAAUGGGCGCAAGCCUGAUCCAGCCAUGCCGCGUGAGUGACGAAGGCCUUAGGGUUGUAAAGCUCUUUCGGCGGGGAAGAUAAUGACGGUACCCGCAGAAGAAGCCCCGGCUAACUCUGUGCCAGCAGCCGCGGUAAUACAGAGGGGGGCAAGCGUUGUUCGGAAUCACUGGGCGUAAAGCGCACGUAGGUGGAUAGUUAAGUUCGGGGUGAAAUCCCAGGGCUCAACCCUGGAACUGCCUCGGAUACUGGCUAUCUCGAGUCCGGAAGAGGUGAGUGGAAUUCCUAGUGUAGCGGUGAAAUGCGUAGAUAUCGGGAGGAACACCUGUGGCGAAGGCGGCCACCUGGUUGGAUACUGACGCUGAGACGCGAAAGCGUGGGGAGCAAACAGGAUUAGAUACCCAGGUAGUCCCUGAGCGGGCUGGCAAGGCGCAU
rnacentral:rRNA from 1 species